rnacentral:ncRNA from 1 species
AUCCAUGAAGACAUGGAUAUAAACAAGUAAAAUGAGAAGACCCUGUGGAGCUCUAAUUCAUGAAUAAAAUUUAAAACUCAAAAAAGCCUAUAACCCUAGCCUACGGUCCCUACAUUAAAAAUUUUGGUUGGGGUGACCUCGGAGCAUAAUUCAACCUCCAAACAACUUAAACUAAGACUGCAUUAAUCUAAGUGAGUUAACACACUUUGACCCAAUAAUUUGAUUAACAGAAUAAGUUACCCUAGGGAUAACAGUGCAAUCCUAUUCUAGAGUCCAUAUAGACAAUAGGGUUUAUGACCUCAGUGUUGGAUCAGGACAUCCUAAUGAUGUAGUCGCUAUUAAGGGUUUGUUUGUUAAAUGAUUAAAGUCCUACGUGUUCUGAGUUCAGACCGGAGUAAUACAAGUCGGUUUCUGUCUAUUU